GUGAGAGGGUCAUUGCGGUAGAG
rnacentral:piRNA from 1 species